GUUAUAACUCAUAAAGCUGCCCACACUUAUCCAACAUGGAAAUAUUGAGAAAACAUGCUUGGAUGACAAUCCUAAAGGAAAUGAGAGUCAAGACAAGACAUGGCUGUUGUGGUCUCCCGGCAACAACACCAAUACCCCCUCCUACCACCAAACAAUACAUAGAUAACUGAAGAAAAUGCUCGCCAACAGCAGACAGACACUUUGGCUUGGAACCACACCAUCCAGACCUGACGGAAGCCAACGUGUGUGGAGACAUCGUGGUGAGCGUUAUGCUGAAUGUUGACAGGAGACAACCGCGACUAGCCAACGUUCGCCAGCAGGAAGAGUGGCGGAACAUCCCACAGCAGUCUAUCCAGAGGCUGAUCAGGUCUAUGAGUCAACUCUGCCAAGACUGUGUUAAUGUUCAGGGAGGUCAUACCCGAUACUAACAUUGUAAUGUUUUCAUUUUGACAGUGUGUCACGUUUCAUACUGAAAACUUGAUCUGUAUUUUUGUUCACAUUUUCUGUGAUUUUGUUUGACAUCUCUGUUUAAAUUAUUUGAUUAAAUCCAUAAGCCGAAGUGUUGCAUUUCUUUUGUGCAUCAGUAUAUAUUUUGCGAUUGAUAAUUAAUGGGAUAAUCUUACAUCAAUUUCCAAACUGCUGAAUUUGACGAU